rnacentral:rRNA from 1 species
UGGGGAAUAUUGCACAAUGGGCGCAAGCCUGAUGCAGCAACGCCGCGUGAGGGAAGACGGUCUUCGGAUUGUAAACCUUUGUCUUUGGUGAAGAAGAUAAUGACGGUACUUGAGGAGGAAGCCCCGGCUAACUACGUGCCAGCAGCCGCGGUAAUACGUAGGGGGCUAGCGUUAUCCGGAAUUACUGGGCGUAAAGGGUGCGUAGGUGGUUUCUUAAGUCAGAGGUGAAAGGCUACGGCUCAACCGUAGUAAGCCUUUGAAACUGGGAAACUUGAGUGCAGGAGAGGAGAGUGGAAUUCCUAGUGUAGCGGUGAAAUGCGUAGAUAUUAGGAGGAACACCAGUUGCGAAGGCGGCUCUCUGGACUGUAACUGACACUGAGGCACGAAAGCGUGGGGAGCAAACAGGAUUAGAUACCCUGGUA